UUUUUUCAGUUUUAUUUUAUUUUUUAUGGACACAUAAUAAUUGUACAUAUUUAUGGGAUACAGUGUGAUGUUUCAAUACAUGUAUACAUUGUGUAAUUAUCAAAUCAGGAAUCAGGGUAAUCAGCUUAUCGAUAUCCUCAAACAUUUAUCAUUGCUUUGUGGCGAGGACAUUCAAAAUUCUCUCUUCUACUUAUUUUAAAAUAGACUCUACAAUAUCAUCAACGAUAGUCAUCCUACUUUGCAAUAGAACACCAGAACUUAUUCCUUCUAUCUGUGAUUUUGUACCUGUUGACAAAUCUCUCUCCAUUCCUUCCUCCCUCUACCCUCCCCAGACUCUGAUAACCACUAUUAUACUCUCUACUCCCAUGAUACCAGCUUUUAAAAAUUCCACAAAACAGUGAAACCAUGUAGUAUUUGUUUCUGUGCCUGGUUCAUUUCACUUAACAUAAUAUUCUCCAGGUUCAUCUAAAUUAAUGCAAAUGAAAGGAUUUUAUUUUUUUUUAAUGAAUGAAUGCUAUUUCAUUGUCUAUAUAGACUAAGUUUUCUUUUUCUUUUUUUUAAAGGCGGAGUUUCACUCUGUCACCCAGGCUAGAGUGCAGUGAUGCAAUCUCAGCUCACUGCAACCUCUGCCUCCCAGGUUCAAGUGAUUCUCCAGCCUCAGUCUCCUAAGUAGCUGGGAUUACAGGCAUGCACCACCGUGUCCAGCUAAUUUUUGUAUUUUUAGUAGAGAUGGGGUUUUGCUAUAUUGGUCAGGUUGGUCUUGAACUCCUGACCUCAAAUUAUCUGCCUACCUCGGCAUCCCAAAGUGCUGGGAUUCCAGGCAUGAGCCACCGCACCAGGCCUAUAUACCACAUUUUUUAAUCCAUUAAUUCAUUGAUGAGCACUUAGGUUAAUCCCAUAUUUUGGCUAUUGUUAAUAGUGCUGCAGAUAUCUCUUCGACAUACUGAUUUUAUUUCCUUUGGAUAAAUACCCAGUAGUGGGAUUGUUGGAUCAUUUUUAAUUUUUUGAGGCACCUCCAUAUUGUUUUUCAUAGUGACUGAACUAAUUUACAUCUCCACCAACAGUGUUUAAGUGUUUCCACUUUCCUACAUCCAUGCCAAGGCAGCAUUUUUUUUCUCUUUUUCAUAAUAAUCAUUCUAAUAGGCAUGAAGUGAUAACUCAUUGUGGUUUUGAUUUGCACUUCCCUGAUGAUUAGUGAUGUUGAGCACUUAUGCAUAUACCUAUUCCCAUUUGUAUGUCUUCUUUUGAGAGAUGCCUAUUCAGAUCUUUUGUCCAUUUUUUAAUUGAGUUGAGUUUCUUAUGUAUUUUGGAUAUUAACCCCUUCUCAGUUGCACAGUUUGUAAGUAUUUUCUCCCAUUCUGCAUGUUGUCUCUUCACUCUUGAUUAUUUGAUUUGCUGUGCAAAAGCUUUUCUGAUGUAUUCCCAUUUGUCUACUUUUGCUUUCGUUGCCUGUGCUUUCAAAGUCUUAACCAAAAAAUCAUUGCCCAGACCAAUAUUAUGAUGCAUUUCCACUAGGUUUUCUUCUAAUAGUUUUGGUCUUCCUUUUAGACUUUAAUCCUUUUAGAGAUGAUUUAUGUAUAUGGUAAAAGAUGAGGAUCUAGUUUCAUUGUGCAUGUGGAUAUCAAAUUUUCCCAGCACCAUUUAUUGAGGAGACAGUCCCUUUUCCAAUGUGUGUUCUCAGUGCCUUUGUUGAAUAUCAGUUGGCUGUAAGUUUGUGGAUUUAUUUCUGUGUUCUUCAUUCUGUUCCAUUGGUCUGUGUGUCUAUUUUUAUGCUACCAUGCUGUUUUGGUUACUAUAACUUUGUGGUAUACUUUGAAGUUAGGUAAUGUCUUUUUGCUUAAAAUGUCUACUAUGAGCAGGUGGCCAACGGGCACAUAGAGGGAGGCUCAGCAUCACUGAUAAUUAGGGAGACGGGAAUCAGAGUCACCACAGAAAACUGUCUAAUCACAAGGUGAACAAGAGACAAAGAAAGGACCAAAUAAUCUAUAAAACAACCAGAAAGGAAUAAUAGAAUGCCAAUGCAUGGUGGGCUUAAUAUCUAGGUCAUGAGUAGAUAGGUGCAGCAAACCACCAUGGCACACGUUUACCUAUGUAACAAAGCUGCACAUCCUGCACAUGUACCCCAGAACUUAGAAAAUAAAAUAAAAUAAAAAGAAUAAUAGAAUGUCAGGACUAAAUCCUCAUCUAUCAAUAAUUACCCUGAAUGUAAAUAUAUUAAGUUCUCCAAUUAAAAGAUGUAGAGUGCUAAAUUGAUUUUUUAAAGAAUGAUCUAACUUUAUGCUUCCUGCAAGAGAAGUACUUCACCUGUAAGAGAAGCACUUCACCUGUAGGGACAUAAUAGGCUGAAAGUAAAAGGAUGAAAAUGAUAUCCCAAAUGGAGACCAAAUGAAGACAGGAGCAGCUAUAUUUAUAUCCGUUAACUAGGCUAUAAUUGAAAAACUAUAAAAAGAGACAAAAAUGGUCGUUAUGUAAUUAUAAAGAGGUCAAUUCAGCAAGAAGAUAUAACAAUUAUAUAAAUACAGCUGGUCCUCUGUAUUCACGAGUUCUACAUCCAUAGACUUAACCAACUACAGAACGAAAAUAUUUUUUUAAAAAUAUCCAAUCUGUACUAUAUAUAGUUUUUAUUAUUGUCAUUAUUCUCUAAACAAUAAAGUAAACCAAAUAUUUUACAUUGUAUUAUGUUUAUAAGUAAUCUAGAGAUGAUUUAAUGCAUACAGAAGGAUGUACAAAAGUAUAUACAAAUUCUAUGCCAUUUUAUAUCAGGUACUUGAGCAUCAAUGAAUUUUGGUAGAUGCAAGUGAGAAGUGAAGCCAGCUGGACUUCCUGGGUCUAGUGGGGACUUGGAGACCUUUUCUGUGUAGCUAAAGGUUUGUAAACACACCAAUCAGUGCUCUGUGUCUAGCUAAAGGUUUGUAAAUGCACCAAUCAGCACUCUGUAAAAACGCACCAAUCAGAGCUCUGUGUGUAGCUAAAGGUUUGUAAAUGCACCAAUCAGCACUCUGCAAAAACGGACCAAUCAGCACUCUGUAGAAUGGACCAAUCGGCACUCUGUAAAAUAGACCAGUCAGCAGGACGUGAGCAGGGCCAAAUAAGGGAAUAAAAGCUGGCCACCUGAGCCAGCAGCGGCAACCCUUUAGGGUCCCCUACCAUGCUAUGGGAACUUUGUUCUUUCGCUCUUUACAAUAAAUCUUGCUGCUGCUCACUCUUUGGGUCUGCAAUACCUUUAUGAGCUGUUAACACUCACUGUGAAGGUCUGCAGACCACAAACCCACAGGGAGGAACAAACAACUCCAGAUGGGCCACCUUUAAAGGCUGCAGCACUCACUGCGAAGGUCUGAGGCUUCACUCCUGAAGUCAAGUGAGACUGGAAGGAAGAAACUCCAGACACAUCUGAACAUCUGAAGGAACAAACUCCAGACACACUAUCUUUAAGAACUGUUACACUCAUCGUGAGGGUCUGUGGCUUCAUUCUUGAAGUCAGCCAGACCAAGAACCCACUGGAAAGAACCAAUUCUGGACACACAAGGAUUUCUGGAAACAAUCCCCCAGGGAUACUGAGAAACUACUAUGCAUAUGCACUCAACAAUGGAACACCUAAAUAUACAAAGCAAAUAUUAUGAGAUCUAAAAGGACAGACUGCAAUACAAUAAUAGUACCAGACUUCAACAUCCCAGUUCCUAAAACGGACAGAUCAUCCAUGUGGAAAAUCAACCAAAAAAACCCCAUCAGGUUUAAACUGUACUCUAGAUCAAAUGGACCUAACAGAUAUUUACAAAACAGUCCAACCAACAGCUGCAGAAUACACAUGCUUCUCAUUAGCACUUGGAACUUUCUCCAGGAUGUAUUAUAUGUUAGAACACAAAACAGGUCUCAACAAUUUCUUUUAAAUAUCAAAAUCAUAUCAAAUGUCUUUUCUGACCACAAUGGAAUAAAAGUAGAAAUUAAUAACAGGAGGAACUUGAAGAAUAAAUGGGUCAAUAAAUAUAUUUAAAAGGAAUUAAAAAUAUCUUGGGACAAACAAAAAUGGAAACACAAUAUAUCAAAACCUAUGGGAUACAACAAAAGGAGUUCUAAGAAGGAAAUUUGUAGCCUACAUCAAAAAAUUAGAUCUCAAACAGCCAAACAUUGCACUUCAAGGAAUCAGAAAAAACAAGAACUAAAUCCGAAAUUAAAAGGAAAGACAUAUAAAGAUUUUUAAAAAGUGGCACAUACACACCAUGGAAUACUAUACAGUCGUAAAAUAGAAUGAGUUCAUGUCCUUCACGGGCUCAUGAUGAAGCUGGAAACCAUCAUUCUCAGCAAACUAACAUAGAAACAGAAAACCAAACAUUCCAUGUUCUCACUUAUAAGUGGGAGUUGAACAAUGAGAAUACAUUGACACAGGGAGGGGAACAUCACACACUGGGGCCUGUCAGGGGGUGGAGGGUAAGGGGAGGGAGAGCAUUAGGACAAAUACCUAAUGCACACAGGGCUUAAAACCUAGAUGAUGGGUUGAUGGGUGCAGCAAACCACCACGGCACAUGUAUAACUACAUAACAAACCUGCACGUUCUGUACAUGUAUCCCAGAACUUAAUAAUUUUUUUUAAAAAAAAGAAAUAAAAACAUUAAAGCAGAAAUGAAAAAACAGAGACUAAAACAAUACAAAAUAUCAACAAAACAAAGUGUUAGUUUUCUGAAAAGAUAAAAUGAACAAACCUUUUGCUAGACUAAGAAAAAAGAGAAGAUUGAAAUGAAUAAAAUCAAAGAUGAAAAUGAAACAUUACCACUGUGUAUUUUUAAAUCAUUUUUGAUGCUUCAGCCUUUCCUGUUUCAUGCUGAGAUGAGAUCAUCACCACAUCCUACUCACUCUAUUCAAAUAAGAAAAUCUAAUCUUGAGUUAUAAAUUUAUUAAAAUUCUUUAAUGAUAGAAUUUCAUUUCUAUGGACACUGGAAAACUCUUCUCUACUGCUAUAUACCGAAUAUUUAUGCCCCCCAAAAAUUCAUUUGUUGAAACUUUAUCCACAGUGUGAUGCUAUUUGGAGAUAGAGACUUUGGGAGGUGAUUAGGUCAUGAGGGUCGUGCCCUCAUGAAUGGGAUUAAUGUCCUUAUAAAAGAUAUCCUAGAGAGCUUCCUUGCCUCUUCCUCCACUAGAAAACACAGCAAAGAUGGCCAUAUGUGAAGCACGAAGCAGGCCUUCACCAAGUACUGAAUUUGUUAGCACUUUGGUCUUGGAAUUCCCAGUCUCCAGAACUGUAAGAAAUAAAUUUCUGUUGUUCAUAAGCUAUCCAGUUUAUGGUAUUUUGUUAUAGCAUCCCAAACAGACUAAAACAACGAGGUACCAAGAAAUUGAUAUUUUAGUUCCCAGGACCAUGCCAUGGGUAUAAUUCAUUAAUUCAUCAAAUAUAUAUUUAGUAACUACUGAAGAAAAGAACCUUUAAUGCACUGUGGAUACAACUAUAAAAAACAAAGGUUAAUUUUAAGGUAGAACAUACAGACUAGUGGAUGAGACAGAACAAAACUUUAAAAUAUGUGAAGCAAAACAUAACAGAUAAGUAGACAAGUAAAAAUCAUAUUUAAACAUUUAAAAACCAUUCUUUCAAUAAUUGAUAAUUAGACCAAAAAAUCAUUAGGACAAUAGAAGAUCUGAACAAGGCUACCAAUCACCUUCACCCAAUUGAUAUUUAUAGAACACUCCAUUUCAAUAGAGCAAAAUGCACAUUGUUUUGAAGUAUACAUGGAACAUUUAUCAUGAUGGACCAUAUACUAGGACAUAUAACAAGUAUUGACAUAUUUUAAAGUAUUAAAAUCAUAUAGUAUAUUUUCUGGACACACAGAAAUUAAAUUAGAAAUCGGUAACAAAAUUGUAUCUGGAAAAUCCUGAAAUAUUUGGAAAUUAAACAACUUUUUUUCUUUUUUUUUGAGACAGAGUCUCAUUCUGUUGUCUAGCUAUGUUUUUGUAUUUUAGUAGAGAUGGGGUUUCACCAUGUUGGUCAGGCUGGUCUCCAACUCCUGGCCUCAAGUGAUCCACCCACCUCAGCCUCUCAAAGUGCUGGGAUUACAAGUGUAAGCCACUGCACCCCGCCUAAACAACAUACUUUUAAGACAUGAGCC
rnacentral:lncRNA from 1 species